rnacentral:rRNA from 1 species
UACGGAGGGGGCUAGCGUUGUUCGGAAUUACUGGGCGUAAAGCGCACGUAGGCGGCUUUGUAAGUUAGAGGUGAAAGCCCGGGGCUCAACCUCGGAAUUGCCUUUGAGACUGCAUCGCUAGAAUUGUGGAGAGGUAAGUGGAAUUCCGAGUGUAGAGGUGAAAUUCGUAGAUAUUCGGAAGAACACCAGUGGCGAAGGCGACUUACUGGACACAUAUUGACGCUGAGGUGCGAAAGCGUGGGGAGCAAACAGG